UACAUUUGAGUGAGUGGCGAACUGGUGAGUAACACGUGGGAAACCUGCCCAGAAGCGGGGGAUAACACCUGGAAACAGAUGCUAAUACCGCAUAACAACUUGGACCGCAUGGUCCGAGUUUGAAAGAUGGCUUCGGCUAUCACUUUUGGAUGGUCCCGCGGCGUAUUAGCUAGAUGGUGAGGUAACGGCUCACCAUGGCAAUGAUACGUAGCCGACCUGAGAGGGUAAUCGGCCACAUUGGGACUGAGACACGGCCCAAACUCCUACGGGAGGCAGCAGUAGGGAAUCUUCCACAAUGGACGAAAGUCUGAUGGAGCAACGCCGCGUGAGUGAAGAAGGGUUUCGGCUCGUAAAACUCUGUUGUUGAAGAAGAACAUAUCUGAGAGUAACUGUUCAGGUAUUGACGGUAUUUAACCAGAAAGCCACGGCUAACUACGUGCCAGCAGCCGCGGUAAUACGUAGGUGGCAAGCGUUGUCCGGAUUUAUUGGGCGUAAAGCGAGCGCAGGCGGUUUUUUAAGUCUGAUGUGAAAGCCUUCGGCUCAACCGAAGAAGUGCAUCGGAAACUGGGAAACUUGAGUGCAGAAGAGGACAGUGGAACUCCAUGUGUAGCGGUGAAAUGCGUAGAUAUAUGGAAGAACACCAGUGGCGAAGGCGGCUGUCUGGUCUGUAACUGACGCUGAGGCUCGAAAGUAUGGGUAGCAAACAGGAUUAGAUACCCUGGUAGUCCAUACCGUAAACGAUGAAUGCUAAGUGUUGGAGGGUUUCCGCCCUUCAGUGCUGCAGCUAACGCAUUAAGCAUUCCGCCUGGGGAGUACGGCCGCAAGGCUGAAACUCAAAGGAAUUGACGGGGGCCCGCACAAGCGGUGGAGCAUGUGGUUUAAUUCGAAGCUACGCGAAGAACCUUACCAGGUCUUGACAUACUAUGCAAAUCUAAGAGAUUAGACGUUCCCUUCGGGGACAUGGAUACAGGUGGUGCAUGGUUGUCGUCAGCUCGUGUCGUGAGAUGUUGGGUUAAGUCCCGCAACGAGCGCAACCCUUAUUAUCAGUUGCCAGCAUUAAGUUGGGCACUCUGGUGAGACUGCCGGUGACAAACCGGAGGAAGGUGGGGAUGACGUCAAAUCAUCAUGCCCCUUAUGACCUGGGCUACACACGUGCUACAAUGGAUGGUACAACGAGUUGCGAACUCGCGAGAGUAAGCUAAUCUCUUAAAGCCAUUCUCAGUUCGGAUUGUAGGCUGCAACUCGCCUACAUGAAGUCGGAAUCGCUAGUAAUCGCGGAUCAGCAUGCCGCGGUGAAUACGUUCCCGGGCCUUGUACACACCGCCCGUCACACCAUGAGAGUUUGUAACACCCAAAGUCGGUGG
rnacentral:rRNA from 1 species